ensembl:lncRNA
CUUUCACCAAAAUGGCUCUAAAUGCCUUUGCUCACCUCUUUGUGCUGGUAUUCCCCUUGUCCUUUUAGCCAUAGAUCUCACACCACCAACUCAUGAGACGGAAACCUUUAAGUCAGUGAAUUAAUAUCUGGGUUUUCCUUUCUUUCUUUUUCCAGCAUCUCUCAAGAACCUUAGCAAGAAUAAGAAAGUGGUUCUGUUUCCUGAAAGAAAUAGCUGAGACCCAGGAAGAGAGAAGGCAAUCUGUCCAAGAUGUUUUGAAUGUAGGUGGGUGAACCAGGACUCAUGAGUCACUUAAACCAUCCUUUAACAAUGAAACAGAAUAGUGGGGAGCUGCCCACCCCGAGCUCCGCACCGAGUGCUGAGAGAAUACAGAUGGCCUGAGAGUGGAAACCAUUAAAUUUAAAGAAUCACCUUUGUAUCCACUUGAAGCCAAUUUUUCUUCCAUCAUGAUGCUUCCAUCUCACAUAUGGACAAUUUAACAGCAAGAAACCAUGUCUGGGGUGAAGCGAGGCCCCAAGCAGUAGUGUCCCCUCAGGUGCUAGAGAUGAGGGCUUGGAUCUCAUGUUGUUCUGGUUCCUUUUCUUGAAGAUAUUUCUUUUUAGUAAACAUUUAGAAGAGUGAAAUGUGGUUCUUUAAAAUUAAGGCUCACAGGGAUAGUUCAGAAAACCAGAAGGGUUUGGAAUAAUGUCUGCACGUUUCCCCUCAUUACUUUUCUCUUUCUUGGAAUGUGUAUUGAAAAGUAUGGUUUCAUUUUCAUGUAACAUGUAACUUCUCACAUAGAGGUAUCUAGAACUUCCACUAUGUGAAGUUCAAAGCGUGAAAAUAUUUUAUCUGCUGA